UUCCUCUGUUCCUUCCUACGGGGAAAGCUCAAUUGAUUUAUCUCAGCUCAAAUUUCUUCCGUCUACUGCUUAUAAUCGUUAUCGACUAUCGCCCUAGAUUAAUUUGAGGAGAAGUCUGGAGAAUAAUGGGGAGAGCUAAGGGAGAAGCUGCAAGAGCCAAGUCUCGCCCCUCCAGUAGCAGUAUGGCUGCUUCGCUAUUGCCAUCUGGUGUUGCGGCUGUGGGUUUCGGAGGCUAUGUCGGAAGUUCACGCGUGGACUCUUCACUAGCAUCAGGCCCUGAUGCCUCUCCUUUUCUGCAGGAUAUUGAUGGUGAAGUGGCGCAGCACUUGAAGCGGCUUUCACGGAAAGAUCCCACCACCAAGCUUAAAGCUUUGGCAUCACUUUCUCAACUUAUCAAACAGAAAAGUGCAAAGGAAAUAGCAAAGAUCAUUCCUCAAUGGGCAUUUGAGUACAAGAAGUUGCUUCUAGACUACAACAGAGAAGUUCGGCGAGCAACUCAUGACACCAUGACUAAUCUUGUUGUUGCUGUUGGAAGAGACUUGGCUCCACAUCUAAAGCCUCUCAUAGGACCCUGGUGGUUUUCUCAAUUUGAUUCAAUAUAUGAAGUUUCUCAAGCUGCAAAACGGUCAUUUCAGACUGCCUUUCCGGCCCAGGAGAGAAGAGUAAAUGCGUUGAUGUUGUACUCAACGGAAAUAUUUGCAUACAUAGAAGAAAAUCUGAAGCUGACCCCACAGAGUCUGUCGGAUAAAGAAACUCCAUCAGAUGAAUUGGAAGAAAUGCACCAACAGGUGCUUUCUUCAUCAUUACUGGCAUUAGCAGCACUUCUUGAUGUUUUCUUCUCCUGGCAUUCUGACAGUUCUGCUACAGAAAAUGUAACUGGUGAAUCAAAGCAUGCUAUGAAAGCCAGGACCAUUGCUGCUUCUGCUGCAGAGAAGCUAUUCUCCAGUCACAAGUAUUUUCUAGACUUUUUGAAGUCUCAAAGCCCAGCUAUUCGGUCUGCAGCAUAUUCAGUGGUGAGAAGUUGUAUAAAAAACAUUCCUAAUACUAUCAGUGAAGAAGAUAUAAAAGUGCUUGCUGGGACAAUACUUGGUUCUUUCCAGGAAAAGAAUCCAGCUUGCCAUUCAUCAAUGUGGGACACUUUCUUACUAUUUACUAAAAGCUUUCCUGAAAGUUGGCAUGCAGUGAAUGUCCACAAAACUAUUCUAAGCCGGCUAUGGAAUUUUCUUAGGAAUGGGUGUUUUGGAUCUCAGCAAGUGUCAUAUCCAGCAUUAGUUCUAUUCUUAGAAAUAGUACCUUCAGAAGCAAUCACAGGGGAUAAAUUUUUUCUUGAAUUUUUCCAUAGCCUGUGGGCAGGAAGAAGCAUGUCUUAUUCUUCAAAUGCAGACCGGCUUGCAUUUUUCUUGGCAGUGGAAGAAUGUUUUAUUUGGGGCUUGAGAAAUUCUUCCAGAUAUUGUGUAGGAGCAGAUGCCAUUUACCAUUUCCAGCAUACCCUUAUUGAUGAGAUACUAUUAGGGCUUCUGUGGCAUGAAUAUCUAUUGGCUAUCAGCCCAAAAUAUCAGGAAGCAUCGUUUUCAUCGUGUACUCAGGGUGAAUCGAAGAAUAGCAUCCAACAUAUACACAAGGAACCAAGAGAAGCAGUGAACAGUAAGCAUUCAAUGGAGUAUGAGGAAACUCUAGGGAAAUGCAUCAUUAAAAUUCUUUCUCAGAUUCAUUGCCUAAAACAUGAUUUGCUAUCGGCAUUCUCCUUGAAGUUUCAGGCAAAUUGUCUGGAUAUAUUUCAGCAGACGGAGUAUUCUUCUCAAAACGUGCUAUGGGUGGUUAAGUUUAUUUCAUUACUGGACAAAUAUGCUGUGCAGAAAGGAGAAACGUGGCCCUUGCUUGACUUGGUGGGGCCGGCAUUGAAAAAAUCUUUCCCAUUAAUUGAGACACUUGAUUCACCAGAUGCAGUUAGGCUUAUUGUCGUUGCUGUUACUGUAUUUGGACCUCGCAAAAUUAUUCAAGAGCUCAUGUGGACUGGCGUAGGAACAAGACAGUUUUUGCAAUCUUUCACCGACAUAAUUAUCCCCUGGUGCUUAAAAAGUUUUACUCCCUCUACUGCUGCUAGAUUGGAUCUUUUGCUCUCCUUGCUUGAUGAUGAGUGUUUCUCACAACAGUGGAAUGACAUUAUAACAUACUUAGUGAAUCGAGAAAAAGUUGGUUUCAAUCCUGGAACCAUGGAUGGAGACCAAAUAUCUGUCUUGGCUAUUCUGAUGGAGAAGGUCAGGGAGAGAACUAGGAAUGGUAUUAAUCGGCCUGGCUCGUGUGAAAGCAACUGGCAACAUGAGCUUUUAGAUUUGGUUGCUAUUGAUGUUGUGAAAGCUUCUCCACCUUUUGGAAAUUCAGAUGCUCGAUUUUUGUGUGCUGUCGUUGGUGGAGAAUUUGAAGAUGAUAAAGUUUGCUUCCUAUCACGAAACACAUUAAUUUUUGUAUUCGAGGAAGUACUUCGGAGGCUCAUGACUUUCAUGAUGGAUUCUCCUUUUGCUUGGGUUCAAGAUGUAUUUUCUUUGUUAAUUAGCAGAAAUUAUUCUGAGUGGAGGUUGGAGUCUUCUAGUAAUCUGCUGGAUAUGGCUCAUUUUGCUUUAGAUAUUCUAAAUGAUAGUUACUUUUGUCUGAAUACUAUUGAGGGUGAAGGUGAGCUAGUUCAAGGUAUAUUGGCUACAAUUUUUAUAAUUGACUGGGAAUUUAGCUGGAUAAAUGUUUUGGAGAACAAGCUUGAUGAACAUAUAGGAAAAGCCCAGGCCAGGUUGACGUUUUGUGAGGCUGUUCAUGCUUUUCGCUGCAAAAUCACUGACCAGUUCUUGAAAAGCUUUGGUGUAAAUAGCCGGAAGAGCUUGGCCACCACUUUGAUCCAAUCAAUAAAAUGCAUUACAUUUGUAGAUUAUAGAUUUGAUCCAGACAAUUUCAUUUCUUCCUGCUGCCAAUGGGCGGUUGGUACUUUUGAAUUUUUCUGUCAAGACCAAGUGGAGGAGCAACACUUGUUGGAGCAGUUUCUGAGCAAGAAUGAUUCAUGGCCUUUAUGGAUAAUGCCCGAUACAGCAGGAGCCAGGUUAUGCACUGAGAAUCUGGAUCUCCAGGCACCCAAAAAUACCAAGUUUAUUGCUCUGGUCGACAAACUAAUAUCUGAAAUAGGGUUUGAUCGUGUUGUUGCUGGUGUUAUUUCCAAUGCCUCAAUUUCCUCAACCAAAGCUCCUGUUAUAGACUUGGCAAACGACCAAUCUCAUUAUUCUCGUCCUUGGCUUGCUGCUGAAAUGUUAUGCACAUGGAAAUGGCUUGGUGGCAGUGUUUUGCACUCUUUUUUGCCUUCUUUCCUUGGCUAUGUGAAGAAUGGUGACUAUGGCUUUGCAGAUUCCAUUUUCAACAUUUUGCUUGAUGGUUCUCUAGUCCAUGGAGCUCGUGGUGGGAUAAAUCUUUUAUGUUGUGCUUCAGUUGGCGAGUUAGAGGCUGUUGAAGAACCCUUUCUAAGAGCGCUUUUGUCUAUACUCUGUACUCUUUUCCAAGAUAAUGUGUGGGGAAAUGAGAAAGCUAGAUCACUUUUUAGACUACUUCUAAACAAGCUCUAUAUUGGUGAUACUGCAAACUUAAAUUGUUUGAGGGUUCUUCCUUCUAUUCUGAACAUCCUUGUUAGACCCUUGAGCACUGGAUUUGACGAUCACACUAAUGAUAACUGUGGUCCUUAUAGCCAGAGCGAAUUGCAUCAAGCAACAGUAGACUGGCUCAAGAGAACUGCAUCUUUCCCUCCACUGAAUGCAUGGCAAACUGGAGAAGAUAUGGAGGACUGGCUUCAGUUGGUUAUAUCCUGUUUCCCUAUAAAAGUAACGGGAAGGAUGCAAAGGAUAAGACCAGAAAGAACCGUUUUGCCUAUGGAGAGAGCUGUUCUGUACGAGUUAUUUCAGAAGCAGAGGCAAGGUGCAUCAGCUGUAGUAAAUAAGCUACCAUUAGUGCAGAAGCUGUUAUCAGAGCUAAUGGUAAUUUCAGUUGCUUAUUGCUGGGAAGAUUUUGAUGAAGAUGAUUGGAAAUUUCUUUUGCAUCGACUCAGAUUUUGGAUUGAAGCAGCAGUUGUUAUGAUGGAAGAAACCGUAGAGAAUGUCAAUGAUACUCUCGCGAAUGGGCCUAAUGAUGUAAAUGCUUCAUUAAAUAAGCUUGAGAAUGCUGUUGUAAUCAGUGAUCCUUUCGCCAUAGAACUUGCCAGAAAUGCACUUGUGGGGUUCUCUCUGUUUUGUUCCCUUGUGGGGUUGCAAGACAAGGAACAUUCUGAAAAUUUAAAUCCUUUGGGGAAUGAGAAGUGGGCAUUCAUCACGGAUCGUAUUUUUGAAGGUAUUCUUCGUAUGUUUUUCUGCACUGCUUGUGCAGAGGCAAUAGCAAAUUCAUGUUGCCAUCAGGCUUCAUCUAUUAUUGCGUCAUCUAGGCUUUAUCAUCGUCAGUUCUGGGAGUUGGUUGCUUCAUGUGUUGUUGAGUCUAGUUCACACGCAAGAGACAAAGCUAUGAGAUCAAUUGAGAUUUGGGGGCUAAGUAAAGGGGCCAUCAGCUCCCUUUAUGCUUUAGUGUUUUCAUGUGAACCACUUCCUCCUCUGCAGUACGCAGCUUUUGUUCUUCUGUCUGCUGAGCCUGUGGGACAAUUAGCUUUUACAUGUGACACUGAGGUGUUCAAUGAUGGUGCUUCUAAUAAUGAGGAAUCUCUUGAUACUUUGUCAGCAGAAAACGUUCAUUUGAGGAAUGAAAUUUCUCACAAACUAGAAAAAUUACCUCACGAGGUUCUUGAAAUGGAUUUACUGGCACAUGAACGGGUGAAUGUAUUAAUUGCUUGGUGUUUGCUGCUGUCGCAUAUAGUAUCCUUGCCUUCAUCAUCACCGGCAAGGGAGAGAAUGAUUCAAUAUGUGCAAGAUUCUACCAAUUCAACAAUACUGGAUUGUCUUUUCCAACACAUUCCAUUGGAGGUAUACAUGGGCACCAGCUCAAGGAAAAAAGAUUUAGAACUUCCUGCUGCAGUGUCAGAAGCAGCAGACGCUGCAAGGCGUGCUAUCACUACCGGUUCAGUCUUGUUCUCUGUAGAGUUGCUUUGGCCUACUGGAUCAGAGAAAAUGGCUUCACUUGCCGGAGCUGUAUUUGGUUUGAUGCUUCAUAAUCUUCCAGCCUAUGUCCGGGGGUGGUUUAGUGAUAUACGGGAUCGUUCACUAUCAUCUGCCAUUGAGUCUUUCACAAAAGCAUGGUGUAGCCCGACACUGAUAUCAAAUGAAUUAUCCGAGAUCAAGAAAGCUAGUUUUGCUGAUGACAAUUUCUCCGUUAGUGUGAGCAAAUCAGCUAAUGAGGUUGUGGCCACCUAUACAAAGGAUGAGACAGGAAUGGAUCUAGUGAUUCGUCUUCCUCCAUCUUAUCCUCUGAGGCCUGUGGAUGUGGAUUGUACCAGGAGCCUUGGCAUUAGUGAGGUGAAGCGAAGAAAAUGGUUGAUGUCAUUGAUGUCAUUUGUUCGCAAUCAGAAUGGAGCACUAGCUGAAGCAAUAAGAAUAUGGAAGAGCAAUUUUGACAAGGAAUUUGAAGGAGUUGAGGAGUGCCCCAUUUGUUAUAGUGUUAUCCACACUGUCAACCAUAGCCUGCCACGUCUUGCUUGCAAGACCUGCAAGCAUAAAUUUCAUUCUGCAUGUCUUUACAAGUGGUUCUCAACUUCUCACAAAUCAACUUGUCCAUUGUGCCAAUCUCCCUUUUGAUCCUAUGUAAAGAUGCAACACUUGUUCACCCUUUUUGUUCAAGAUAUCUCAUUCUCUUUGCAUAUAUUUUUAUUGGGAAUUCAUUUCGUUGAGCUGAAGGAAACUUUAACGCCCCGACUAAACAGCACCUGCAACUGAGCUCUUUGGUCACCUGUCUCUGCCUGUAAUUGGAUGACACUGGAACCUCAUAAGUCAUAACAAUGAGCUUAUGCUUUCACCUUGAAUUAAACAUGUCUUAGGGAACUUGUCGGGCUACUCCACGAGGCUCUUCUAUGCUGACUUGUGAAGAUGGUGUGCAGUAAAGUGGGACAAGAGAACAAGAGGAUGGUGUAAUGCGGACUUGUGCUGAGCUUGUGUUUGCGAGAGAACUAUUUCACCAGCAUAACAGAGUAGUCAAUCAUGCUAGGUCCGGAAGCAAUACGAUCUAAUUGGAGUUGGCUUUCAUGGACUUUUGAGCAAUGGACAGGUAGGGAUCUGUGUUGAGUUCUCGUCCAGGCACACAUGGUUUUAAACCAACAAAACAAAGAAAAGAAGAAAAUACUAGAAAACGAAAUGUGAUGAGUGUCAAAUUAAACAAACAACUUUCCAAGUUUUGUACUUUGAUGUGAUAAUUUUUGUUAGAGUAUUUCAUUUUGAAUAGACGAAUUUCUUAACUUUUUGUCUCAGGGUUGUUUAACAUUUUAUUUUUAAGGAAAGAACGGUAAUUUUAUAAAG